CAGGCGACGCACGCGCCUCCGUCGGUCUCCAAUACAAACCCGGGUGCGCUUUUGUCGCUCGUGGAGAAUGGAGUCCCUCACUGAGAGUGAAAUAGCGCAGAUAGCGAGGCAGCAGAGAGAGGCUGGCCUGCCGAGGCUCAGCCGCCACUUCUCCUGGCCCGAGUUCGGCGACGAGCGGCGGUGCUUCCACCAGGAGUUUGUGUACGAUGUCGCCAUGUUUGCCGCGGCCCGAGGCUUCCCCUGGCCCGCCGUGAUCCGGGCAACUGCGGUCGCCAAAGGCCUCUUCCCGCAGCUGGACGGUCCUGACGUACCCGGGCUAUUGGCCCUUCUGAGAGACGCGCUGUCUGCUGAGUGUUUGCCAAACUUCACCCCUGUACACCGGCACGAGUUCGCCCGGUUCCUCACGGGUGCCUGCAUUGCCCGGCGGAGGCUUUUCCAGGCAGCGGUGGGUGGAGCAGCCAACGUGUCCAUCACUCGGCUACACUUGGAGGUGCAGUUGCCGCCCACACCCUGUCCCCUAGCAGAGGGCACAGAUCUGCAUGAGUGGGAGCAUCAGCGUCACUAAGCCGAGCUCACGCCAGUGUUGCGACAGGAGGAGGUCAAGGGUCACUCUGGGGGAAGUCGAAGUUACUAAGGGUGAACAGCCGGACAAAGAAGUACAACUCACAAAAAUAUAUUUUUUAAAAAGAAAAACAAGAAAGGUUCAUUGAACCGAGAUGCUGUUAUAUCCUGCAGCUUCGACUGCAGUGGGUAGGGCCGGCCACAAGAGGGCUCUACAACCCCACUCUUUCCAACACAGGUCCUGAUACACAAGAUGCACCAGCUGAGGCAAAGCUGCACAAGCAAAAAGAGGACAGAGGAGAUGUCUGGAGAUGCGGUGCGGCUGAGCAGUGACUCUGCGGGAGCCUCCAGGAUCUCCAGAGUCGCCCUGAGACAGUCGUCUGGACGGGAGGAGAGGAAGGGAGCGGAGAGAGACAGAACAGAUGAAGGACAGAGGCGGAUUGCAGUAUGAACAUAAUUUUCUUUUCAAGUAAAAAAAACAAACAAACAAGUCUGGCAUUACCAAUGUACAUCAUAGGGAGCCGCGUGUCACUGCGCAGGUUGCACUCAAAACUACCCGUCUUCACAGCUGCGUGGAAGAUCUGGACCGCGUAGUCUGGGAGAUGGAAAAACAGAUCAAGAUUAGGACCACCAACACUCUUCUGUUUAAUCCGCACAAACUACGGCCCACUACAAUUGCUUGCUCCACCCUCUUAAUCCUUCGGUAGAUUACACCUUAAUCACUUCACCCUUUACGACCUGCUAACCUGUGGUUCCCCCUCCAGGCUGAGAGUCGGCUGAGAUGAUGCCUGGAUACCUGAGACAGCGGAAAUCCAGUGCGUACCUGUGAUGGUAGUACUGACAAAGAGGCGUACACAAAGCUUUAACAUUUUUUUUUUUUAAAACAUAGCUCCGUGGUAAAAGGCUGAUAUGUAUUUGAAAACGGCGUCUGUGCGUCUGCACCGUCGCGUCUCACCUCACCCAUCAGCUCCGCAUGGACCUUGGACACGCCGUAGAUGGUGCGUGGCCUCUGCACACACAGCUCCGGGGUGGGGUCCCUGGGUGAGGACGGACCGAAGGCACCGAUCGUGCUGGGGACAAACACACGCAGACCAUGUUCGGUUGCUAUGUCUAAUAUGUUAUGGAGACCUACGAAGAGAGAGAGGCUGCGCAUAAGUGUCUGCGUGAGGACGGAGCUAAACGCUGCUGCAACGUUCCUUUUAGAAGCUUUUAUUAGAGCAGCUUGUCUUCGGGAGUUUCACACGCGCAUGUACCUGUGAUGUUGACCUCUUUGGCCAGCGCAACGUUGCUCUCCCCCACAGCAGACAGCACAGCAGAGUAGUGAACCAGCCAGCUGAUGUUGUUGUUCACCACGAUCUCCCUGAGGUUUUUGUAGUCCAGGAUGUCUGAGAAGAUGAACGGCCCUAUGGAGGACACACAUGCACAGAAGUUAGAAGAAGUCGUCUGCGGACUUGUAUAUCUGCUCGGCCCAAACGAUGCAAAGAACAUGAUCAAGUGUGUUUUGUUUCUUUGGGUGGCAGAAUUCCACAGGGUAGGUUAUACUGGCAUACACACCAUUAUGGUAGACAUGGUUGGGGGGUUUCCGGAUGUCAGACAGGAUCACGUUGUUCUUUCCGAAGCGUCUCCUGAGUGUGAAAUGCCAACAUGGUCAUAUGGGACAAAAUGGUAACCGAGGAGAAGACUGUUGGACUUCGUCCCGUCGCCGUGCCCCAACCCUUUGCAACUGAGCGCAAAUACAAAACGACACUGCCAACAUUUGAAAUAGGAGCUUAUCUACACACUCCUUACCUUAGCAACUUGGCGAGCCCCACCCCGAGCUGACCAAGCCCUCCUGUAACGAUACAAAAGCAAAGGGAAAAGUGUGUUUGACUUGAUACUAUAGAAGA